CCAUAUCAAUCUGAAUUGAAAAUUGUCCAAUUUCUCCUCUCCUUUUAUGACUCAUCAAUGUCAAUAAUUCCUAUAAAUAGCCAUGUAAUUUUCAGUUAUCUUCAAGCUUACAAAUCCAACUCAAAUUUGAGUAAUUAAAUUAAAAACACCAUUGUUAAAGCUUAAAGCUUUUUACUCCAUUGAUGAAUCUUGAAGCUUUUUCCUCCAUUUUUCUCUCUCCUCCGUUUGACCACCGCAGCACCGCCACCUCCGCCACCACUUUCUGUCGGCGACUUAUUCCUUCGCUCGGACCACCUCAUUGAACCCGUCGCCACCUUAUGUCGUCGCCGGAAGACCCGCCUGUUGUUGCGUGAGCUGCUGUUUUGCGUGGGUUUCAUUGCCAUUGCUACCUUGAUUUUCUUGAUAACCAAAAUGAAGUAUAAAUGGUGAAUGAAAGUGGGCCUAGGUGUUGUAAAAAAAAGUAAUGGACCGUGAGUUUACAUAAGGAGGAAGUAUUUUGGGCUUUUCUCCAUCAAGAUGAGGAAAAAUUGGAGGAAGUAGUAGAUCAAGAAGGAGGUUCGUCGUUGCCGAAAUCGAAUCGAAGAAUUUGCGCUCGCCUACAAAUCUUCGCAAGAAUUUUUAGAGAUCAUAUCUCGAAAUACAAAGAUGAUGCAUCCAUAAUUGAAGUCGUGCAAAGAAUAACUUCUACAAGGAAAACAAAAGUAGGAGAAGAAGAAGAAGAAAAUCCCGACAACAAUGAAAACCAAGGACGUGGUAGAGGAAGGAAGGAUGUGCGUGAAAGUGGCGAUUAAUAUAUUUUUUAGUUCAAAAAUCAUUUGAGUUUAAUGUGAUUUAUUUAAUAGAUGCAAAUAAUUAGAAUGUCAUAGCUUAAAACAGCUAACUAUGUAGUUAAUGUUUUUCUUAAUUAUUGUCCAAGAGUUAUAAUUCCUUUUUUUUAUUUAGUAACUAUACGAUAUAUAAUAGUAACUAUAUAAUAGAAAAAAGUUACUGUAUUACC